rnacentral:tRNA from 1 species
GCAUUGAUGCACGUCGACAGGUUUCCUAAACCUGGUGUCGUAGGUUCAAAUCCUACUGGGGGCA